rnacentral:lncRNA from 1 species
GGUAACAAUUCCCUUGACUUCCUUAGUGAUCAAAUCCAAAUAAAUAAGCCACUACUUUCAAUGAGACAUAAAAGUCUAAUCUAGUCUAGCAGAUUAAAUACCUCACAUCUAGAGGAACAUCCUCAGAUUCUCAGAUGAACCCUUUUAAUAGUUGCUUUUAAGACCAGCUUAAUGUAUUUUCCCAAAUCUGAAUUUUCUCCAAAAUAAUAAAAGUUGUAUCAGUUAUCAUUUUUGCUAAAAGCUGUUAUUUUUAGAACAACUCAUCAGGGUCCCACUAUCAAUUCAGACUACACAUAACUGGCUGGAGUUAAAAUCUUCUCCUUAAGCAUCAGAAUUGUUUUCAGAUAUGAUAGCCAAAGCCACAUAUGGUUAUCAAACACUUGAAAUGGAGCUAGUCCAAAUCAAGAUGUGCUGUCCCAGUGGAACAAAUGCCAUAAUUAGCCCUCAGAAGAAAGGCCAGAGAUUGACUGCGAGGUCCCUCCAGUCAUGCCUUGAGGCCCUUGCUAGACUGGGACGCUCACACUGUUGCUCUCUGCUUUGUAGCUGUUUGUGCAAGAACAAAAGGACUUCAGUCUCCGUUGCUAUUAAUCCAACUUCACAAGCAUGAAAUUUACAGACACACACAAGAAUUCAUCAUUGAAACCUUUUCCCCUUGUCAUGUUCAGCUGCUGAAAAGUGGGCAUACUCUUGGAUAUGAAUGUUAAUAAAAAGGAAAAAAAAUGGACA